GAAGUGGUAGCUCAGCAGUUAAAAUGGCAGACUUAUGAUCAGAAGGUCAUGAGUUCAAAUCCCAGCACUGCC